GAAAUCGACUUAAUGAUUAAUAGGGACAGUCGGGGGCAUUUGUAUUCAAACGACAGAGGUGAAAUUCUUGGACCGUUUGAAGACAAACUACUGCGAAAGCAUUUGCCAAGAAUGUUUUCAUUAAUCAAGAACGAAAGUUAGAGGUUCGAAGGCGAUUAGAUACCGCCCUAGUUCUAACCAUAAACGAUGCCAGCUAGCGAUCUGAGGACGUUUUUUUUGUAGACUCCUCAGGAAGCUUCCGGGAAACCAAAGCGUGUGGGUUCCGGGGGAAGUAUGGUUGCAAAGCUGAAACUUAAAGGAAUUGACGGAAGGGCACCACCAGGAGUGGAGCCUGCGGCUUAAUUUGACUCAACACGGGAAAUCUCACCAGGCCCGGACACUGGAAGGAUUGACAGAUUGAGAGCUCUUUCUCGAUUCGGUGGGUGGUGGUGCAUGGCCGUUCUUAGUUGGUGGAGUGAUUUGUCUGGUUAAUUCCGAUAACGAACGAGACUCUGUCCUGCUAAAUAGUGUCGGCCUCUCUUUUGGGCCGACAAUUCUUCUUAGAGGGACUGGCAGCUCCUAGCUGCACGAGAUAGAGCAAUAACAGGUCUGUGAUGCCCUUAGAUGUUCUGGGCAGCACGCGCGCUACACUGAAUAGAUCAGCGUGUUCUCCCUUUCUGAGAAGAACGGGUAAACCGCUGAACCCUAUUCGUGGUAGGGAUCGGGGCUUGCAAUUAUUCCCCGUGAACCAGGAAUUCCCAGUAGGCGCGAGUCAUAAGCUCGCGUCGAUUACGUCCCUGCCCUUUGUACACACCGCCCGUCGCUACUACCGAUUGAACGUUUUAGUGAGGUCCACGGACUGUUUGCAGAGCGGAUUAUUCUGCCUUGCUGGCGGGAAGUCGACCAAA
rnacentral:rRNA from 1 species